UAUCGUUUUCUAGGAAGCGGAAUGUUUGCCGAAUGUUUCGAGCUGGCUGGAAUCGACGAUUGAUGCUUCGUCCAUUUACGCCGGCUUAAGGAGAGGACCAUCGCGGUGUGAGAGCGUCGUCGCUUUCGAGGCAACCACGUCCGGUAUUUAGCCCUUGUUUCCAAUGGAUUUCAUGAAACGUAAAAAUUCUUCGACUACAAAGAGAAAGCGACAAACGACCGGUAAAGCUUCAUCGCCGAAUAAACGGAAACGGAAAUGGACGUGGUUACAGCGAGUAGGUGCACACGCGGGUAUCACGAGCGUUCGUUACAUCGUCAGGGGGCUCGUGACGACUUUUCCGUCGAGGCGUUAACGCACAGCGAACGUGUUACCUUCGUAAGUAUAAUACCGCUUAUUCAUGCCUCCUUGGCGUCGCUGAAUCGGCGAGGUUACGUGGCGUUGCGCGCGCGACCUCCGCACACGUACACGUGGCCGUGUGACGGUGAAUGCGAAAA
rnacentral:lncRNA from 1 species